rnacentral:rRNA from 1 species
AAGACGUAGCAAUACGUUUGUAAAGCGGCGAACGGGUGAGGAAUACAUGGGUAACCUACCCUCGAGUGGGGAAUAACUAGCCGAAAGGUUAGCUAAUACCGCAUACGGCUCUUGGUCUGCGGAUCGAGAGAGAAAGCGAUACCGUGGGUAUCGCGCUCCUGGAUGGGCUCAUGUCCUAUCAGCUUGUUGGUGAGGUAACGGCUCACCAAGGCUUCGACGGGUAGCUGGUCUGAGAGGACGAUCAGCCACACUGGCACUGCGACACGGGCCAGACUCCUACGGGAGGCAGCAGUAAGGAAUAUUGCGCAAUGGGCGACAGCCUGACGCAGCGACGCCGCGUGGGGGAUGAAGGUCUUCGGAUUGUAAACCCCUUUCGGCAGGGAAGAUGGAACGGGUAACCGUUCGGACGGUACCUGCAGAAGCAGCCACGGCUAACUUCGUGCCAGCAGCCGCGGUAAUACGAAGGUGGCAAGCGUUGUUCGGAUUUACUGGGCGUACAGGGAGCGUAGGCGGUUGGGUAAGCCCUUCGUGAAAUCUCCGGGCCUAACCCGGAAAGUGCGGAGGGGACUGCUCGGCUAGAGGAUGGGAGAGGAGCGCGGAAUUCCCGGUGUAGCGGUGAAAUGCGUAGAGAUCGGGAGGAAGGCCGGUGGCGGAGGCGGCGCUCUGGAACAUUUCUGACGCUGAGGCUCGAAAGCGUGGGGAGCAAACAGGAUUAGAUACCCUGGUAGUCCACGCCUUAAACGAUGGAUACUAAGUGUCGGCGGGUUACCGCCGGUGCCGCAGCUAACGCAGUAAGUAUCCCGCCUGGGAAGUACGG